AAUAGAUACCCUGGUAGUCCACGCCGUAAACGUUGGGCACUAGGUGUGGGGACCUAUCGACGGUUUCCGUGCCGAAGCUAACGCAUUAAGUGCCCCGCCUGGGGAGUACGGCCGCAAGGCUAAAACUCAAAAGGAAUUGACGGGGGCCCGCACAAGCGGCGGAGCAUGUGGCUUAAUUCGAUGCAACGCGAAGAACCUUACCUGGGCUUGACAUGUACGGAAAAGCCGUAGAGAUACGGUGUCCUUCGGGGUCGUACGCAGGUGGUGCAUGGCUGUCGUCAGCUCGUGUCGUGAGAUGUUGGGUUAAGUCCCGCAACGAGCGCAACCCUUGUCCUAUGUUGCCAGCACGUCAUGGUGGGGACUCGUAGGAGACUGCCGGUGCCAAACCGGAGAAGGUGGGGACGACGUCAAGUCAUCAUGCCCCUUACGUCCAGGGCUGCACACAUGCUACAAUGGCCGGUACAAAGGGCUGCAAUCCCGCGAGGGGGAGCUAAUCCCAGAAAAGCCGGUCUCAGUUCGGAUCGCAGUCUGCAACUCGA
rnacentral:rRNA from 1 species